rnacentral:lncRNA from 13 species
ACUUGAGCAGAGACUGGUCUGCCCUGUCACACCACUGCGUUUCUCAGAAGGAAGAUCCAUGGCGGAGGAGUUGGCGUCUGGUUAGAGUUUCAGAUGGAGUGACAUUCACCUGAAGACCUGGAGCAAGUGAAGGAGUGAGCUGUGAAGACGUCUGGUGGGGAAAGCAUUUUUGGAGGACAGAAUCACAUGUCCAAGGGCCUGGAGAUGAGAGAACUAGCUUGGAGCCCAUGUGGCUGGAGCGGUGCAUAACAGGGCUUGCUUGGAAGAGAAGAGGCCAGAAUUAACAAGGGGCUAGACCACUUGAGGCCACUGUAAGGACUUGGGUUUCCCUCCUAGGUAGGAGUGGAAAUCUUUUGAAGCCUUUGAGCAGAGAUUGCCAUCUGACUUUCAUGUUAACAAUAUCGGUCUGAUGACUGCGUUGAGAACCCAUGGCCCGAGAGGGCAAGUGCAGAUCGGGAAGGUGAAGCUGGCAGCCUGUGCAAUAAGCCAGUAUUUGGGGGUUCAGGCCUCAGACUUCAGGAAGAAGCCUAUGAGAGAGCAUGAUGUGAAGGGCGUCCCCUUUUCUAUCUGGGAGAUCUGCUAUCCUGGGAGUUUGCUGCCUAUGAAGAGGCCAUGUCAUCUCACAGACACCAAGUCAGUGGACCCCUCCCAGUUCUCAGUGGUGAAGCAUCCCACCAGGACGGGGUUCCUACCUUCAGACCGAUUUUCUCAGGACAGUUCCAACACUGUCUGGGGAGGCUGUAAUUCCUUCCUCAGUAUAAUGGUUUUCUGCACCAUCUGUAAAUAUCUUUUAAGCAGAUCUUCAACAAAUGAUUGUAGUUUCUCAUAAUUCCAGUCAAUCCAACAUGUAUUGAAGGCAUGCACAGAUGGAGAAGAAUGUGUUCUCUGAUCUCCUGUCCCAGCUUUUACUCUCCUAGGAUUGGCUAAGAACCCCAAAUCAUUGCUUGGCAGGCAGCGCAAAACCUUCAGCUCCAGAUGAGCCAUUUAAUAGGUGCCUAAGAUGAAUUUUUGGAAAUUUUUAAGAGAAAAGCAAUUUCCCUAAGCAUCCAGGAGUGUUUCUUGUGGUUGUAUUUCUAUCCUCUGCAUUUCUCCCUGCUGCAAGGGAUGGCCUGCCACAGCCUCGGCCCAGGGCAUCUGCCACCUGUACACAGGGCCCUAGCCCUCUUUCCUAUUCAAGGACUUGACACCUUUCUCUUGUAUCAUUGAUUUUCUGUUUCUAGUGGCUCAUCCCUUUGGCAUACCAACAUGUGAUAACAUCCUAUAUUAUGUUUAAAAAUUAAUUAGCAAAUGAAUACAUCUCUCUUCAACCCCCAAUUCCUCUUUCAUCUAUUACUGUAUUUUGUACUCUUCAUAGCAAGUACUCAGAUACCACUUUAUUUAUGAGAAUAAAGUGUUCUCAUCGCAUGGCUUUCA